rnacentral:rRNA from 1 species
UACGUAGGGGGCAAGCGUUGUCCGGAUUUACUGGGCGUAAAGGGCGCGUAGGCGGUCUUGCAAGUCCCGUGUGAAAUCCCUCGGCUCAACUGAGGAAUGGCACGGGAAACUGCUUGGCUUGAGUUCGGGAGAGGGAAGCGGAAUUCCGGGUGUAGCGGUGAAAUGCGUAGAUAUCCGGAGGAACACCGGUGGCGAAGGCGGCUUCCUGGACCGACACUGACGCUGAGGCGCGAAAGCUAGGGGAGCAAACGGG